ensembl:lncRNA
GACCAGAAGGAAAACAAUAAAAACAUAGAAUUAAGUCCUGAGGACUUGGAAUUAGGUAAAGUAACUGAUAAUGAGUUCAGAGCAGCUAUAAUCAAAACAUUCAAUGAGGUAGAGAGAAAGAUAGAGAAACAAGCCGAGUUCUGGAAUUACUUCACAAAAGAGAUUGAAAUCAUAAAGAAGAAUCAAACAGAAUUACUAGAGAUGAAAAACACAAUGGACCAGAUAAAACAGAAGGCGGAUUCCCUGAACGCCCGUGUAGACACCACAGAAGAGCAAAUUAACAUAACUGAAGAUAGACAGACUGAAUGGCUCCAGAGGAAGAAAGAGAACUAAGAAUUUAAAAAAAUGAGGAAAAUCUCCAAGAGAUAAUGGAUUCAAUGAGGAGUAAGAACAUAAGGAUCAUAGGAAUUCCCGAGAAUGUGGAAAAGGAAAAUGGAGCAGAAAGUGUGCUUAACGAAAUUAUUUAAGAGAACUUCCCAAAUCUAGGAAUUGACAGAGAAAUGUGUGUAGAGGAAAGUUUCAGAUCUCCUAGAUUUGUCAAUGUAAAAAGACCUACUGCAAGGCAUGUAUUAGUAAAACUGGCAAAAGUCAAAGACCAAAAGUAUUAAGGGCAGCAAAGCAGAAGAAAAUAACCUACAACAGAACCCCUAUCAGGCUUCAGAUUUCUCAGCAGAAACCUUAGAGGCUAGGAGAGAGCAGAAUGAUAUAUUCAAAAUUCUGAAAGACAAAAACUUUCAGCCGAGAAUACUCUACCCAGCAAAAAUAUCCUUCAGAUAUGUUGGAGAAAUAAAAACUUUUCCAGAUAAAUAAAAGCUGAAGGAGUUCAUUGCCACAAAACCUCCCAUAAAAGAAAUGAUCACGAAGGCCCUCAUACCUCAAAAAAAAGGGUUAACCAAGCCUUGAGCGAGGAGAUAGACAGACAAAAACAGAAUAUUACAACUCUCUAUCACAACAGGUUAGCAAACAAUUAUAACGUUAAAGAAAAAGGGAAGGAAAACAUCAAAAAUAACUAUAAUCACUUCAUUUUAACCAAAACUCACAAAACGGAUUAAGUUGUGACAACAAUAACUCAGGGAAGAAGGAAGAGAUGGAACCUGCUCAGACUAAGAAAAUAAGAGGCUAUCAGAAAAUGGACUAUUUCAUCUACAAGAUCUUUUAUACAAACCUCACGAUAACUACUAAACAAAAACUCAGAACACAGACACGAAUGAUAAAUAAAGACAAAACUGAGAAAACCCUCAUAGAGAGUCGCCAAACUUAAUUCACAGUCAGAAAUACACCGGAUUGAGAAACAAGGGAAAUACAGAACAACCAGAAAACAAGUG